rnacentral:ncRNA from 1 species
UGAUUGCUCUUCCUAUCAUUGUGAAGCAGAAUUCACCAGGCGUUGGAUUGUUCACCCACUAAUAGGGAAUGUGAGCUGUGAUUAUACCAUCAUGAGACGGGUC